rnacentral:lncRNA from 1 species
CUGGGAUCUGACUCACUUGUCUGGGGCUUGAUCCACCAUGAGGCUGGAGGGUCUCCAGCAGAACCAGCUUCUGAUCCACACCCCCCAUGGGUUCUCUGCUGCACGUGGAGGUUGCAUCACUGCCAUGGAUGUCCUUGCAGGGAGAAAGGGGGAGCUGUGCAAAGGGGAGAGACUUUUUACUGUAGGGUUGAAGGUAAAUGGAGAGACUCCCAGAAAGGGAAGAUGUAUGGACUCAGAGAGCUGUGAUCUGCUAGAGCUGAAAGGAUUGGAAGAGUCUGUACCCUCAGACAGGACAGUGGCUUUCAUGGGCACAGCUGUGUGCUGGAAAACCCCAGGCAAAGAGAGAAGUGCAUCGCCCUGUGCUCUUGGAGUUCUGGGCUUUGGAGAGACCAAAGGAGGAUUUUAAUACAAACUGCUCUUGCUUCUGAAACUCAUUAGAGCAAGAAGAAAAUCUUCAAAACCUAUGAGAGAAAAGGACUUUUUUAUCACUGUGCAAGUGAGGUCUGGAUCUGGCUGUCUUUGGAGGUUGUGGAGACAGACAGCGUCAGCCUGUUCAAAAGGGUUGGAAAAACCCAUGGAUUGCAAGUCCAUAAAAAUAUACUGAUGGAAGGGAACAGGCAGAGAUGUCUGCAAUAAUGUGCCCAGUCCAGGAAAUGUGGAUGUUGGAGAAGUCUGUGAACCACAGGAAUUCAUGCAGCCUCUUCCAGCUGGAUUUGAUGGAUCAAAGGUUUCCCCUAGUAGGGAAUUAUUUUGCCAUUAAAAGAGAUUACACCCCACACGUGAAGACAAUUGAUUACAGAAUGUUUUAUUUUCUUUUUUUUCCUCUGUACUAGAAAAUUUGUAACUGUAGUCCUGAAGUUUUAAUCACCAUAAAUGACAAUAACUCCUAUAAAAGAGGCUUUAUGUGGAAAUUUAAGAAUAACACCAAAUUAUACAUGAGAACAAACCUACAAGCUUCAUGAUCUUCAUGUGUUUUUUUCUUACAGGUGUCUCAAGUUAUUGUAUCUUUUUAAGGAGAUAACUUGAUAUCUGGGAGAAAAUCACUGUCUAAAAAACCUACGAAUUUAAAUUAUCUCAUAUGAUUGACAGGUUUUAACACCCACAACUAAUAUGGAGCUACUUGAUGGCAGACUUCACAGUUUACAGAUAGAUUAAAAGGAAGCAGAAAAUUUGUUCUUACUUUAAAGCAAGCCUGUGUAGCAUAUAUCCAGGCUUCCUUUGAAUAAGCAAUCUACUUUUGAGAGAGAAAACACACUGAUACACAUUUAAGAAAAACAGAAAAUAAAAAUCAGUGUUGCACUCCUUGGUUUGUGUUU